rnacentral:rRNA from 1 species
ACGUACACUCCUACGGGAGGCAGCAGUGGGGAAUAUUGCACAAUGGGCGCAAGCCUGAUGCAGCCAUGCCGCGUGUAUGAAGAAGGCCUUCGGGUUGUAAAGUACUUUCAGCGGGGAGGAAGGCGAUAAGGUUAAUAACCUUGUCGAUUGACGUUACCCGCAGAAGAAGCACCGGCUAACUCCGUGCCAGCAGCCGCGGUAAUACGGAGGGUGCAAGCGUUAAUCGGAAUUACUGGGCGUAAAGCGCACGCAGGCGGUCUGUCAAGUCGGAUGUGAAAUCCCCGGGCUCAACCUGGGAACUGCAUUCGAAACUGGCAGGCUAGAGUCUUGUAGAGGGGGGUAGAAUUCCAGGUGUAGCGGUGAAAUGCGUAGAGAUCUGGAGGAAUACCGGUGGCGAAGGCGGCCCCCUGGACAAAGACUGACGCUCAGGUGCGAAAGCGUGGGGAGCAAACAGGAUUAGAAACCCGUGUAGUCC